rnacentral:rRNA from 1 species
AUACGGAAGGGGGCUAGCGUUGCUCGGAAUGACGUGGGCGUAAAGGGCGUGUAGGCGGUUUUGACAGUCAGAUGUGAAAUCCCCGGGCUUAACCUGGGAGCUGCAUUUGAGACGUUAAGACUAGAGUGUGAGAGAGGGUUGUGGAAUUCCCAGUGUAGAGGUGAAAUUCGUAGAUAUUGGGAAGAACACCGGUGGCGAAGGCGGCAACCUGGCUCAUUACUGACGCUGAGGCGCGAAAGCGUGGGGAGC